UGGGGAAUAUUGCACAAUGGAGGGAACUCUGAUGCAGCGACGCCGCGUGAGUGAUGAAGGAAUUCGUUUCGUAAAACUCUGUUCUAUGGGAAGAAAAGGACUGUACCAUAGGAGAAAGCCCCGGCUAAAUACGUGCCAGCAGCCGCGGUAAUACGUAUGGAGCGAGCGUUGUCCGGAAUUAUUGGGCGUAAAGGGUGCGCAGGCGGCUUUACAAGUUGGAUGUGAAAUAUUGUGGCUCAACCACAAACGUGCAUCCAAAACUGCAAAGCUUGAGUUAAGGAGAGGUAAGUGGAAUUCCUGGUGAAGCGGUGGAAUGCGUAGAUAUCAGGAGGAAUACCGGUGGCGAAGGCGACUUACUGGACUUAAACUGACGCUCAGGCACGAAAGCGUGGGGAGCAAACAGG
rnacentral:rRNA from 1 species